CCCGGGUCUUGUACACACCGCCCGACACACCAUGGGAGCGGGAUGUACCAGAAGUAGGUAGGCUAACCGCAAGGGGGCCGCUUACCACGGUGCGUUUCGUGACUGGGGUG
rnacentral:rRNA from 1 species